ensembl:lncRNA
ACGAAGUGCCGUCGCCACACACGGCGCAGCUCCCGGCGAUGACCUCAGGCAGCUGAGCAAUUAGAGCCCCGCGCACCAGUGCUGUGCUGAGCGGGAACACAGCCCCGCGCCAGCCUUUAAUAUGAAAAUGAAGAAGGGAAACAACAAAUCCAAUAAACCGGCAAAGUCAAACAAAGCCAACUGGGAGUUCGUUUGGCGAUAAGAGCAAGGAAGAGAGGCGGCUGAUAAAGCCGGGUGCUUCUCCGCUGGCCCUGUCUGCCACGGGUCUGUCAGGACUGAGUGGCUCAGGAGGCAGCCUGGACUCACCCAGGUGGGAAAACCACCUCAGGGAAUGAGGACACAUGCGAGUGCUUCAUUGGCAGCCGGGGAGAACAGGCGUGUUUCUGCCCCUUUCCCAUUUCCAGGCAUCUGUAAGCGCUUUGCAAAGCAAAUGAGUUUGCUCCACAGCGGGCCAAGGACACAGAGCCCAGGGAGCAGGUCGGCAGCUUCUGCUCACCUUCAUUUGAAACAGCAUUAUCCUGCUGAGAGUUUUGAAGUCAUAAAGUCACCCUCCGCUGCCAAGAUCCUCCAUCUGAAGAUCUCCAGCAGACGCCGACCGCAGCACCUCGGCACCGUAUCAAUUGAGCUCAGCCACUGUACAGCCCAGCAAAGCUCAGUCCUGUCACUGUGCAAACACUUUACUCCCAAAGAAGAGGAUCCCUACAAGAUCUCGGCCAACUUCAGAGCGCUCUGAGUAAGGAACCGUGACAGAAGUUCUAUCUCCGAACACAAUUUUCUCAAGAAACACUCUGUAAAUGCCACUGAACUUACACGACGAAAGAUCUGCAGAACAAGGGCCUUAGCAGAGAUAAGUAAUCACAAGAAAAAGAUUAGGCAACAGCAAGCCUACAGGCGGAAGUGGCGUAUUGGGAUUGCAGUGGCAUGACUACAAAGCUUCAGAGGAGAGUGCAAAAUUCUCACUUCAGUUCUGAUUUCUUUCUUCUGGCUCAUUUUUAGGCCAUAUAGUAUAUUUUAACCUUACUUCUUGUUUUUCAGGGAGCUCUCCUACACUUUUCUUUGUCUCUGUUUUCUCAUUCUAUUCCCUUCCAGGGUUUCUGCACUUUCUGUUCCAGAAAUCUCUUGCAGGAUCUGAUUCUGCAGAUGAUGCUGUAACCAGCAGUCAUAUUUUAUCCUGUGCCUGCUGAAACAAAUGAUGGAACUGCUAUUCCAGUAAGGGAUUCGUGAAUUUGGAUCACAGCUCAGAAGAUGAACACCUCCAACUGUGUAUGCAAAGAACAUCUGAAUUGAUUUUCCAAGGAGGAGAAGUACAGAACUCAAAGUGCUCCUUUGGUAGGAUGUGUGUGCUCACACUGAAAUUCAGGCUUUCAGAAUCAAUUCACAAACUCCUAUAACUCUGUACUGUUUAAACACGGAUUCAGAAGGUUACAUCAUUUCCUCUGACCCAUGCAAAGAUAAGACACAGGACCAUCAGACAGUGUAAGUCCCCACUAACCAUGAACAUGCCUCUGCUCUCAGUAAUGCAUGAAAAAAAAUAAAGAAGUCAUUCAUUCCUAAAAGAGGUGCUUGAUCUGUUUUGUAGGGUUUGCAGCGAUCUGACUAACAUCACUUAUAACCCAUCAAAGACACUCCACAGCUCAGUCCUGAGCCCUCUUAGGAUGCAACAAUCCUCCUACAGAGUGCACAGUUCGGAUAUCUAUACUGUGCAGAGAAGCAUUACAAAUGGACAAUUGCACAGGAUUAAUCCUGCUCAGAUUGCAUGCCCUGUGGCCUCUGGAUGACGGCCAGCUCCACAUCAUUACCGCCUCUGAACAAGAAGAAGAGCCUCAUCUGGGGCAAGAUACAGCCUGCAAAACAUUGCUAAGAGUUAACAGUGUCACCUUAUUUUGUCUUCAAGCAAUCAUGUAAAGACAGAGGAACUGCUCUGUAAGAGUGUGGCAGCAUGCAACAAGAUGUCUAUGAAUGAAUCUUCUCUCAGGAGAACCAAGGAACCUUCACCAACGCAAACUGUACUUCCCGCUGACCUUGCAGAUAACUGCGAACCAAAACACUCAGCCCUCUAAUUUCUGUUCCUGAUGGAGCUUUACAAGAUCGAGCUAAAUUUAACGAGGAGGAGGAGGAAG